GGCUGUGUGGUCUUGUGGUAUGAUUCUCGCUUAGGGUGCGAGAGGUCCCAAAUUCAAUUCUCGGCGCAGCCC